AUGCUCCGCACCACCGCCGCGAUGCUCCCGUCCCCCGCCUCCCUCCGCGCGCUCCUGCGCCUCUCCCGCCGCGCCCCUUUCCCCCGCCUCCGCCAGCUCCCAAGCCCCCCGCUCCUCCCCCGCCUCCGCCCCCUCUCCUCCUCGCCCAACCCCGCCCGCGACCCCCUCGCCCCGCCGGAGCCGCUCUCCUCGGCCUUCGCCGCCGCCGCCUCCAACCCCGAAGCCCCCGCCGACUCCGACCCCGACUCCUCCUGGGGCGUCUUCGACCCCGUCGCCGGCCGCAUCGUCAUGCAGACGCACCCUCCCCCUCCCACUUCCAGCUCCGACCGAGAGGAGGAGGAGGAGGAGGAGGAGGAGGUGGUGGAGGUGAAGCCGAAGGCGAGGCCGAGCGGCGGGAAGCGCGAGCCCAGGUGGGCGGAUGUGGCCACCGCGAGGAGGGCGGCGGGGAAGGGCGGCAAGGCGCCGAGGGUCUCGUACGUCUGCAGCAACUGCGGGGACGGCUUCUCGCAGUGGUGGGGCACCUGCCGCGGCUGCCAGGCCGUGGGGACCCUCACCAAGUUCUUCCCGGGGGCCGACUCCGCCGACGCCGACGCCGACGCCGAGGGGUCGCACCACGCCGGCCGCUCGUGGAUUCGGCAGAAGAGCAAGGAGAUGGUGCCCAAGAAGCUCCGGGAAGUCACCAAGGGGUUUGACCAGGCGGGCUGGCGCAUACCGCUGCCAGGGACCUUUGGAAAUGAAAUUUCUCGGGUGCUUGGAGGUGGCGUCGUUCCUGGCUCCUUGGUUUUAGUAGGUGGGGAUCCAGGUGUUGGCAAAAGUACAUUGAUGCUACAGCUUGCUUCUAUUGUAUCUGAAGGUUCCGAGGACCAUGGGUCUUCUCCUGUUGUGUAUGUGUCCGGUGAGGAGAGCAUUGAGCAAAUUGCAAAUAGGGCUGACCGGAUGAGUAUCAAGUCUAAAGAUUUGUAUCUAUACUCUAGUACAGAUAUUGAGGAUAUCUUGGACAAAAUCCAGCCACUAUCUCCAAAAGCUCUUGUUGUUGAUUCAAUUCAGACAGUUUAUCUAUCAGCAUUUGCUGGAAGUGCUGGGAAUCAAGUGCAGGUCAAGGAAUGCACAUCUGCCUUGUUAAGUUUUGCUAAAAUGACAAAUAUCCCUGUUUUCCUGAUUGGACACGUCACAAAAACUGGUGAUAUUGCUGGCCCUCGUGUUCUAGAGCACAUAGUAGAUGUUGUUUUGUAUAUGGAGGGAGAGAGAUGCUUAUCUCAUCGACUGUUACGGUCAGCGAAGAAUCGUUUCGGUUCAACAGACGAGCUUGGUGUAUUUGAAAUGUCAGAACACGGUCUGCAAGCUGUUCUGAAUCCCAGUGAGAUGUUCUUAACUGAGCAUGACUCUGAUUCUGAGAUACUGGCUGGGCUUGCUGUAGCUGUUGUUUUGGAUGGAUCCAGAACCUUCGCUAUUGAAGUUCAGGCACUGUCUGUUCCUGGUUCUCUUGGUCAAGGAAAAGUCGUUGGCACAAAGUCAAAAAGGGUUGAGAUGAUAAUAUCAGUUCUUAUGAAGCAGGCAGGUCUAAAACUUCAGGAUAAUGUUAUUUAUCUGAAUGUGGUCAGUGGGUUCGAGCUGUCGGAGACUGCAGGAGAUCUGGCCAUAGCAGCUUCGAUUUGCAGCAGUUUCUUGGAGUUUCCUAUCCCAAAUGAUAUUGCAUUUAUUGGAGAGAUUGGCCUUGGUGGUGAACUUAGAACUGUGCCAAGAAUGGAUAAGCGGGUGAUGGCUAUCGCGAAGUUGGGCUACAGGAAAUGCGUCGUCCCCAAGACUUCAGAGAAGCUGCUCAAACCUCUCGAUCUCGAUAUCCAGAUCUUGCCCUGCAACAACCUGAAGGAGUUCAUAAACACAGUGUUCAGGCCAGAAGUAUGA
rnacentral:rRNA from 1 species